UACAGAGGGGGCAAGCGUUGUUCGGAAUUACUGGGCGUAAAGGGCGCGUAGGCGGCCCGCUAAGUCGAACGUGAAAUCCCCGAGCUCAACUCGGGAACUGCGUCCGAUACUGGCGGGCUUGAAUCCGGGAGAGGGAUGCGGAAUUCCAGGUGUAGCGGUGAAAUGCGCAGAUAUCAGGAGGAACACCGGUGGCGAAGGCGGGUCUCUGGGCAGUAACUGACGCUGAGGAACGAAAGCGUGGGUAGCAAACAGG
rnacentral:rRNA from 1 species